rnacentral:rRNA from 1 species
GACGAACGCUGGCGGCGUGCUUAACACAUGCAAGUCGAACGAUGAAGCCGGAGCUUGCUCUGGUGAAUUAGUGGCGAACGGGUGAGUAACACGUGAGUAACCUGCCCUAGACUCUGGGAUAACUGCGGGAAACUGUAGCUAAUACCGGAUACGACCCUCGGAGGCAUCUCCUGGGGGUGGAAAGAAUUUCGGUCAAGGAUGGACUCGCGGCCUAUCAGCUAGGUGGUGAGGUAAAGGCUCACCAAGGCGACGACGGGUGGCCGGCCUGAGAGGGUAACGGGCCACAAUGGGACAGAGACACGGCCCAGAAUCCUACGGGAGGCAGCAGUGGGGAAUAUUGCACAAUGGGCGCAAGCCUGAUGCAGCAACGCCGCGUGAGGGAUGACGGCCUUCGGGUUGUAAACCUCUUUUAGUAGGGAAGAAGCGAAAGUGACGGUACCUGCAGAAAAAGCACCGGCUAACUACGUGCCAGCAGCCGCAGUAA